rnacentral:rRNA from 1 species
GACGAACGCUGGCGGCGUGCUUAACGCAUGCAAGUCGAACGGAAAGGCCCUGCUUUUGUGGGGUGCUCGAGUGGCGAACGGGUGAGUAGCACGUGAGUAACCUGCCCUUGACUUUGGGAUAACUUCAGGAAACUGGGGCUACUACCGGAUAGGAGCUCCUGCUGCAUGGUGGGGGUUGGAAAGUUUCGGCGGUUGGGGAUGGACUCGCGGCUUAUCAGCUUGUUGGUGGGGUAGUGGCUUACCAAGGCUUUGACGGGUAGCCGGCCUGAGAGGGUGACCGGCCACAUUGGGCCUGAGAUACGGCCCAGACGCCUACGGGAGGCAGCAGGGGGGAGUAUUGCACAAUGGGCGGAAGCCUGAUGCAGCAACGCCGCGUGCGGGAUGACGGCCUUCGGGUUGUAAACCGCUUUCGCCUGUGACGAAGCGUGAGUGACGGUAAUGGGUAAAGAAGCACCGGCUAACUACGUG